GCGAAGCACCUUGACGGAUUUCUUCGGAUUGAAGCCUUGGCCAUUGAGCGGCGGACGGGUGAGUAACGCGUGGGUAACCUGCCUCAUACAGGGGGAUAACAGUUGGAAACGGCUGCUAAUACCGCAUAAGCGCACAGUACCGCAUGGUACGGUGUGAAAAACUCCGGUGGUAUGAGACGGACCCGCGUCUGAUUAGGUAGUUGGUGGGGUAACGGCCUACCAAGCCGACGAUCAGUAGCCGACCUGAGAGGGUGACCGGCCACAUUGGGACUGAGACACGGCCCAAACUCCUACGGGAGGCAGCAGUGGGGAAUAUUGCACAAUGGGGGAAACCCUGAUGCAGCGACGCCGCGUGAGCGAUGAAGUAUUUCGGUAUGUAAAGCUCUAUCAGCAGGGAAGAAAAUGACGGUACCUGACUAAGAAGCCCCGGCUAACUACGUGCCAGCAGCCGCGGUAAUACGUAGGGGGCAAGCGUUAUCCGGAUUUACUGGGUGUAAAGGGAGCGCAGACGGCACUGCAAGUCUGAAGUGAAAGCCCGGGGCUCAACCCCGGGACUGCUUUGGAAACUGUAGAGCUAGAGUGCUGGAGAGGCAAGCGGAAUUCCUAGUGUAGCGGUGAAAUGCGUAGAUAUUAGGAGGAACACCAGUGGCGAAGGCGGCUUACUGGACGAUAACUGACGCUGAGGCUCGAAAGCGUGNGGAGCAAACAGGAUUAGAUACCNUGGUAGUCCACGCCGUAAACGAUGAAUACUAGGUGUCGGAAAGCACAGCUUUUCG
rnacentral:rRNA from 1 species